rnacentral:lncRNA from 1 species
UAAUAACUCUCAAUAAAUAAAUCAAUAGAUAUAGAGAUAAUCAAAUAAACAAUAUCCUUGGAAGUUACACAACCGUUGGCCUUAGUUGUUAAGGCAUUUUCUUUUACAUCUGAUAUCCACGGCUUACAUGUAUUUGUGUGUAUGUGUGUGUGUCUAUAUAUAUACCGGAUACCAUCAUAGACACUAAAGGAAAGCAAAAAUCCCUUGAAGCUUGAAACUUACUAAAUCCAUGUGAAUGAUCGAUGGAUGCUACACAAUCUUUUGAAGAAUGAUAUCUAGCAUCAACAUGGUGGUGGUGGUGGUGGUGGAGGACUUGAAUAUCGUCGUGGUUGAGGUGGCAGAGGACUUCUGUAAUAAAUAGGAGCAUUAACCCUUGGAGGUGGAGGUGAUGGCUUUGUCCUUCUAGACACCCCCUUCAACUUGUAAUAAGAGAUUUCAUUUGAUGAAAUCGCAUCAGGGGAAGACCAAGAUGGAGCUUCCCAUGCAGAGGCUUUGCCUGUGUUACUGAUAUGAGAUGAUAGAAGCAGCUCAUGGAUCAAAAUGAAAGAAAGCAAAUAAGCUAUGCCGCCCAUUGUUGCUUGUUAUUCAUGGAAU